AAGAGAGAGGAGAGAGAGAGCCAGUGAGCCAGCAGCAGCAGCAGCAGCAGCAGCAGCAGCAGCAGCAAUCCUGCAGUGUCCUGCAGCAGCUGAGUUCCUGCAGUGCCGGCCUCUAAUAGCCCACAUGCACACCAACACAGACAGGGAUGCACAUCAGUGUCUCUCAGACGCAGACACAGUCCUUCGGUCACGUGACACGGUGGCGGCUGAAUGUGAGGGAGAGCACGCCGGACCGGACUGAGCUGAGUUUAGAGACAGAGGAGAAAGAGAAAGACACUGCUCAUGAAGCUCCACAGGGAGGCAAUGGUGAGAUUAGCCGGUUGCAUCCCCCCACUCCCCACUCCCCACUCCCCCCUACCCCUCCCACCUACUACCUCCUUCCCCCCCCCCCCCUCCCACUCCCCGAUGGUGCAUUGUCCCGUUCCAGCCCUCCAGUUCCGAUGAUGUAAUCAAUGCAGCAGGCUUUGAACUUGCCGGGCUAGGGGGGCUUCUGCAAGUGUGAGGCCUCCGCGGCUGCAGUCCCAGGCUCAUACACCAGGCCGGCUGCUGGUGGCGUGUUGGAACAUGCCUUGACUUGUUGGGCUGCCUGAGCAAAGCAGAGAGAGGAGAAGUGAGGAGAGGAGAGGAGAGGCUUGUGGUCAACAGUUUGCCAGUGUGAAGUGACCCACACACUCACACAAUGAGAGAGGCCUGCUGCAGCCGUGGACAGACUCCUGCUGAUGUCAACGCCAGGGUGCUCUCCCCGGGAGACGCUGCCUCACUGCUUGAGCCUCCAGCUGUUGGGACUGUGCCUUCCAAUCACCACCACCGCUGCCCCCAUCACCACCACCAGGAAGCUGGGCAUGAACAGUGUGAGCGUCUGUAGCGCCAGACUCACGGGUGGAAGUGCACGGCAGGCGGAGGAGGGACAGACGGUUGGACGUGCUGCGGCUGCUGUGGGUGUUUCUCUGGCAGUGUCUUAGCUGGUUGUUGUGAGGAGUGAGAACGAAGCAAUCAGCAAGUAUACUGCCGCAGAAAUUCUUCGCAAUAAGAGGCCCUGGGAUCACAGCCAUCACGAGAGGGAAGGAGGAAAAAAUCAGCACUGUAGCGAACGUGGAUCGUGUUUUGUGUGAUGAAACUGUAGAAAUGAACGAGGGCUGAGGACCUGAUGCAGAAUUAACUGAAGAUAGAUCACCUGAACGCAAUGGGAUCAAAACUCCUGUACUAUGUGCUGUACUUUUAUGGUCCUCUGCUGCCAUCUUGUGACUGAACCUCCCAGCAUGCUUUUGUUCAUUUGAAGGGGACAUAUCAUGCUCAUUUUCAGGUUCACACUUGUAUUUUAGGCCGCAGAACUGGGCUCUGAUAAGUGGCCGCCACCAGUCACGCUGGGACGUAUGUCACCAUUUUGCAUGGAGGUUUCGUACACAAAGUCAAGGUAAAGCGGGAGAAAAAAGUUAUCUCUUGAAUAUAUAUAACACAACACUAUCAGCUCUUUGUUACAGAUACAAGACAGGCAAUUUGCCGUUCUCUCUUCCAAAUAAUGCAGCCUCGGAACCAUCCAUUCAUGAAAUUAAAUCGCACACUUAAGGAUCCUCCGUACCAACGGGAAUAUGCACGAACAUUUUGCAAGAGUGGCAUUUAACAACGUACAGAUAAAUAGAAUAGAAAAUGUUCCAAUGAUGUAAUCCACCAAAUCACACUUCUGGAUAUUCUCUUACGAAUGAUUAAAUUCAGAGUGACAAAAAACUGAUUUAUUAAAAAGGGCGUAUGCAAAAGUAGCUGACGAGGCUGCUGUAGAAGUUAUCGGCCAAUUAUCAGGCUUCUUCCUGCUCCAAACUAUCAUUAUUUUAUAUCAGCCUUUAAAAAUCCACUAUCGGUCGAUACUCCAGACACCCAAAUGUAUGUGAACAAACACUGAAAAGGUUCAUGAUAUGUCCCCUUUAA